rnacentral:rRNA from 1 species
AGUGAACGCUGGCGGCAGGCCUAACACAUGCAAGUCGAACGGCAGCACAGAGGAGCUUGCUCCUUGGGUGGCGAGUGGCGGACGGGUGAGGAAUACAUCGGAAUCUGCCUAUUUGUGGGGGAUAACGUAGGGAAACUUACGCUAAUACCGCAUACGACCUACGGGUGAAAGCGGAGGACCUUCGGGCUUCGCGCAGAUAGAUGAGCCGAUGUCGGAUUAGCUAGUUGGCGGGGUAAAGGCCCACCAAGGCGACGAUCCGUAGCUGGUCUGAGGGGAUGAUCAGCCACACUGGAACUGAGACACGGUCCAGACUCCUACGGGAGGCAGCAGUGGGGAAUAUUGGACAAUGGGCGCAAGCCUGAUCCAGCCAUGCCGCGUGGGUGAAGAAGGCCUUCGGGUUGUAAAGCCCUUUUGUUGGGAAAGAAAAGCAGUCGGUUAAUACCCGAUUGUUCUGACGGUACCCAAAGAAUAAGCACCGGCUAACUUCGUGCCAGCAGCCGCCGCAGUAA